GGGGCGCGCACCCCGCCCGCUCCCGGAACUGUCAUGAGUGUUGACAGCUGGCACACACUUCUGUCGCCCUCCACCCGCUUGCAGAAAGCCCCUUCCUCCGAGUCACCUUGACGUAGCUCACCUGCCUAGGCCUCGGUUCUUGGCCAAGGAAACUUUUUUCCUCCCUUCCCAGGAGCUCACUUACAGGUCAGCUUUAAAUGUACUGUCUUCCUGAACCUGCCUUGUCCCAAAGGACCCACUUCAGUAUGGGGAGGCUUUAAGGUUUUGGAUGUGUCCAGUUUCAUAUAAGGCAGAGGUCCCCAACCUAUGAGUCUUCUGUUGAAGUUUAUUUCCCUGAAGAACUGAAACCAACGGUCUUUAAUGAGUGUGUGUGUCUAGAGCUAACGGGAGCCGACAGUGCUGAAAUGAGCCCACUGGAGUCAACAUCAUCUCUCCAGUGUUAAUGUUACCUGCUGAUCACUGGCUCUGGGAGAAGCCAGCUGCUACACUGUGAGGAAAUUCAAGCUACUAAAGGAGAGACCCACAUGGCUGCAAUGCAGAGACAUGAUGGCUGAGGUUGAAGCUUUAUCCUGGGAGCAACCACCUGUUGGAAACUUCAUGUUAAAGGUGGCUGAAUAACAGGAUAGAAGCAGCCUGGGUCCCUGGUGGAUACACCAGAUCUGGAUUGUUCGUGGUGAUA